CCUACGGGGGGCAGCAGUGGGGAAUAUUGGACAAUGGGGGGAACCCUGAUCCAGCCAUGCCGCGUGUGUGAAGAAGGCCCUCGGGUUGUAAAGCACUUUCAGUGAGGAAGAACGCCUGGUGGUUAAUACCCAUCAGGAAAGACAUCACUCACAGAAGAAGCACCGGCUAACUCCGUGCCAGCAGCCGCGGUAAUACGGAGGGUGCGAGCGUUAAUCGGAAUUACUGGGCGUAAAGCGCGCGUAGGUGGCUUGAUAAGCCGGUUGUGAAAGCCCCGGGCUCAACCUGGGAACGGCAUCCGGAACUGGCAAGCUAGAGUGCAGGAGAGGAAGGUAGAAUUCCCGGUGUAGCGGUGAAAUGCGUAGAGAUCGGGAGGAAUACCAGUGGCGAAGGCGGCCUUCUGGACUGACACUGACACUGAGGUGCGAAAGCGUGGGUAGCAAACAGGAUUAGAUACCCCAGUAGUC
rnacentral:rRNA from 1 species